GAUGAACGCUGGCGGCGUGCCUAAUACAUGCAAGUCGAGCGAACGGACGAGAAGCUUGCUUCUCUGAUGUUAGCGGCGGACGGGUGAGUAACACGUGGAUAACCUACCUAUAAGACUGGGAUAACUUCGGGAAACCGGAGCUAAUACCGGAUAAUAUUUUGAACCGCAUGGUUCAACAGUGAAAGACGGUUUUGCUGUCACUUAUCGAUGUAUCCGCGCUGCAUUAGCUAGUUGGUAAGGUAACGGCUUACCAAGGCAACGAUGCAUAGCCGACCUGAGAGGGUGGUCGGGCACACUGGAACUGAGACACGGUCCAGACUCCUACGAGAGGCAGCAGUAGGGAAUCUUCCGCAAUGGGCGAAAGCCUGACGGAGCAACGCCGCGUGAGUGAUGAAGGUCUUCGGAUCGUAAAACUCUGUUAUUAGGGAAGAACAAAUGUGUAAGUAACUGUGCACAUCUUGACGGUACCUAAUCAGAAAGCCACGGCUAACUACGUG
rnacentral:rRNA from 1 species